rnacentral:rRNA from 1 species
CACAAGCGGUGGAGUAUGUGGUUUAAUUCGAUGCAACGCGAAGAACCUUACCUGGUCUUGACAUCCCGGAGACCCUUAGGAAACUAGGGGGUGCUUCCAUCUGGAAGAAUCUGGAGACAGGUGCUGCAUGGCUGUCGUCAGCUCGUGUCGUGAGAUGUUGGGUUAAGUCCCGCAACGAGCGCAACCCUUGCCUUUAGUUGCCAGCAGUUCGGCUGGGCACUCUAAAGGGACUGCCGGUGUUAAACCGGAGGAAGGUGGGGAUGACGUCAAGUCCUCAUGGCCUUUAUGACCAGGGCUACACACGUACUACAAUGGCCGAUACAAAGGGCAGCGACACUGCGAGGUGAAGCCAAUCCCGUAAAAUCGGUCUCAGUCCGGAUUGGAGUCUGCAACUCGACUCCAUGAAGUUGGAAUCGCUAGUAAUCGCGCAUCAGCCAUGGCGCGGUGAAUACGUUCCCGGGCCUU